GUGUGUUCUUAGUCAUCUUUUGGAAACAUUGACCCUGAAACUGCAGGCAGACUCUGAAGAAAAAAAAGAAUUAAGUCGGAUCUGGUCGUUCAUUCAUGCGUGCACUCAAACAUCUUGCCAGCGUUCACCGUAUCAGAAAGCCAUUUUUGCAGAUGAAGAUGGAUCUGGAGAUAGUGAUGAUGAAGAAGAAAUUUCUGAACAUGACAGAUUGGAAACCGUCUCUAGUAAUGAGGAAGCAGAAGAGGAGGAAAAUGCUGAUCAGUAUAUGACUGCUAAGGGCAUCAAACAAGGAAAACUUGAGGAGUUGGAAGAAGACAGUGAAGUUAAUUUGCCAGCAUUUGCUGACCGAGACGAUGAGCUUGAGGGGAACUCAGCAGAAGGGGAAGUGAAAUAAGCUGGGGAAAGCAGUGAGGAAGAGGACUGCACUGCAGGAGAGAGGGGCAUUUCAGGAUCAAAGACUGUUGGAGAAGGUAGUAAAGCAGAGCUGUCACCAGCUAAUCCCCGGAGUGACCCUGUAAAUCUGGAGAAGUCUGUCAAUGAAGAAAGCAGCCCUCACCUCUUCGUUUCUGGGCACUGCACAGCUGUGCCAUUUUCAUCUGAAGAUGAAUCUGAAGAAAGCUCUUCACUCAGUGCAGAGGAAGAGGACUUGGAAAAUGAGGACACUUUUAGGAAAAAAGUUUCAGAGCCUUCUCAAGUGGGCAGUGGUCAGGAACUGGGGUGAAGAAACUUAAUUGAUGAGACCAGUGAUAUAGAAAUUUACUCAAAGAAGAAGAAGAUUGCAAGGAAGAGAAGAGUGAUUCCACCGAAGCCUCAGGUGCCCUCAAGUGGAAGGAAGACCUUUUCCAGAAAGGCAACUGAGGCCUUUGUGAGGCAGCAACAAGCAGCUCUAAACCUCCGAAAGCUUAUUUAUGGGACAGGUAAAGAAUUCUGGUUCAGAGCUGGAAACGUUUCAGUUUCUGUAAUUAUUUUCUGAAAAGGAGAUAGGGAAUUGGUUGGAGGAUUGGGCUGAUAUUGUUGACAUCCAUCAUUGCUGGCCGUCAUUUGGCAGACGUCUUUAAUCAUCAGCUUACGAGGACCACAUAUUGGUCUUGUGAAGUACCUUUAUGGGUUUGUUAUAAAACUCAAUGCAAGUCAUGUCCGUUGCAUCAUGUAAUGUCCCCUUUUAAAAAGUCAUUCAUGAGAAAUUUUUUUGUAGAAUUUAGUGCCAGAAAAAUAUUUCUGCCCAUAUAAGUAUUUAUUUGUUCCUUUCUGAGAAUGAGAACCCUGUAUAACACAUUUUGUUCUCCCUUUUGCCCUUGUCCUCUGAUUUUAUGCUUUGUUAAACCUACCUAUAUGUUCUUUGUGGUAGAAUUAAUGGUUAAAAUAAACAUAGAGUGGUGAACUUUACAUCGUGUUUUCUGGUUGCUGCACGAUGAGAUCAAUGCCACAUGGUGAGACACUUGGGCUCGGCACAGUGAAUUGGGAGGGUUGUUGUGUACUGAUUUUCAUUCACCUUUUGUCUAGGUACUCUCAGUGAUGAGAAGCUCAGCACUCUUUAGAGCUCUUCUUUAAUAAUUGAAAGCUCUGGUUUUAAAUGUCCCUUCCCUCCUUGACCCCUAAUAUUCUAAGUCCUCCUCAACUGCUUAGCUGCUGCCGUGCAGGACUGCAGGAGCCCCCACACAUGUAGAGGAAUAGCUUCCUGGCCUCUCUUUACCUGUAGCUGACCUGCCCUCUCAGUGUCUGACUCAUAUGUGGCCAUUGCCAUACUUAUCACAGACAGUUUCUUCCACUGAGUUGGAAGAAUCGUGGCCUAACUGGUUGAAAACAAUGAGUCCUGUAGGGCUGUAGGUUUUGUUGUCACUUUUCUGCCAUGGUGUUCUCUUUAGUGACAGAAGAUAAUGAAGAAGAUUAUGAUACCUGAGAAGAGCUUGGAGGGUUGUUUUGUGUCAGCCAGCCUGACAGAGAGUGUAAGCACAAGGCUGACUCUUUGGACUGCUUUCGAUUUCUUGUGGAGGUGCCCCCUGACUGGAAUGUAGAGGAGGUAAGACUGUGUAAUACGUUUGAUUUAUUAGAGAGUUGUUCUAGAAUAAGAUUAUCUGAUGUCAAUAUUCCUUACCUGUUGUUGGUUUCUUAUUUUUAUUGGAUGACAGGUCAUCCUCACAGAUACUGUGGUGGGCACUCCAUGCAUUCUAAGCAAUAACACAUUCUGAGUUUAGUUAGUCCAUUGCACAGCCCACGGAGGACAGGUUCAGCUUCCAGUUUGAAUAGCAGUGCCAAUCUUUAUUUUGAAGCAUCACACAUAAAUUUUUAUACAUCUGAUGUAUUUUUUGUCUUAUCACUAGGAUAUAUGUAGCAUCCCUGAGUUAACAUAGUUUCUGCUAUUCGUAAGCAUCCAGAAAUCUGUGAUACCUGUAAAUGUUCUUCCUGCAGCUCACCACUUUAUAGUCACACUGGAAUUCAUUCAGUACUCAAACGCCACACAGCUUAUCCUCGUCUUAGGCCUUUUCUCUUUCUCUCUCUUUUUUGAGACAAGGUCUUGCUCUACAUUCCAGGCUGGAGUGCAGUGGCAUGAGUGUACGGCCCACUGCAGCCUCGACCUCCUGGGCUCAAGGGAUCUUCCCACCUCAGCCAUCAGAGUAGCUGGGACCAUAGGCACGAGCCACCAGGCCUGGCUGCUUUUUGCAUUUUUUAUAGAGACAAUGUUUCACCAUGUUGAGCUAGUCUCAAACUCUAGGCUAGAGUGAUCUUCCUGCCUUGCCCUCCCAAGAGUGCUGGGAUUACAGGAGUGAGCCAUUGCGUCACCCCUUUUCUCUACAUUCUCUUCUGGAAUGUUCUGAUCUUCCAAAGGCUGCCUUCUUUUUUAUCAAUUCAGUUUGGCUUAGGUGUCACUUCUCACAGAGGCCCAAUUGCUCUCAUCCUGCCUAUUGUAAUUUUCCAGGUAACACUUAAUGCUCUUUAUGAGAUUUUUAUUUAACCAUUUUUUAAUGGUGAAAUUUAAUACAGAUAUAGAAAACCACGUAAAAACAAUUGUUUAACUUAAUGGGCUGCCAGAAGGUGAAUACCCCUGUACUCAGCACUCAGGCUGGGAAAUCAAGCUUUGCUGCUUGAUUGUGACACCUGCCAGGGUCCUCUUCUUGUGGAAGGCGGUGUGGUCCAGCCUCUUGUGGCGACUCUUUUUUUUCUUCCUGGUUUCCUCUUCCAUGCUUCCAUAAGCAUCAUAGUUUACUUUUACCUGAUUUUCAUUAUGGGUUUUCCGUCUAUCUUUUAAAAUUUUUGGUCAACAAUCUUCCUUCACAUUUCCUUUUUUUGAUUACAUUUUAUUUAAGAAACCAAGUUGUUGGUCUGUAGAGGUUCUUGUAUUCUGGAUUUUGUGGAUUGCUUUGCAUCACUCUGCCAUGUCUCAGGCCCUCCUGUAUUUCCUGUGCAUGGGUACGGAACAUUACUGAUAUAAAUUCUGUAAUGACUGGAAUGUAUAUCCAAGGUGUGGGUUGUGGCUACUUGUGGCUACUGGGCACUUUGAAUAUGGCUAGUGAGAUGGGAUAACUAAUUUAAAAAUUUUAUUUAAUCUUAAUUAAGAUGAAUUUAAAUAGCCACAUGGUUGUAUUUACCUGAUGGAUGACACAUGUAGCAGUUGGAUAGGAUUUAAAUUUGAUUUUUAUUUUUCAGUGAAACUUCUUCCCAGGUGGUGGUGUUUUCUUACUGAGAGGCAUAUAAGGACUGGUUGUGUCCUUUUAACGGCAUGAGAUGGAGAGAUGGUCUAAUCUGCCAUACACUGGGGCAGUGGCCAGUGAUUUGAAUUUCAUGGCAUAGAUGGAAACUUCCAGGUUCUCUUGGUGGUAGGCAGAGGCCUCAGUUUUUAAGAAACUUCCCAGUUUCACCCCUGCCAAUGAGGAUGUUGAUUGAGGAUAUUCCUAUCAGUUUUAAGUAGAAGAGAUUGUUUCUUGAUGUUGAAUUUCAGGUAAGGAAUCUAGCUCCUGCAUAUCACGGUGGUGGUGCUUGGGCUGAGACAGGUCUAGAGAGCACAGUCUGAAAAGGGGCUCAAGGAAGUAGCUGUGAAAGACCCCUGGGAUGUUUUCUGCUCCCCUCUCUGCAAAUCCCCUGGAGGGAGAUCCCGUUAGUCACUAUGGAGUGUGUGUGUGUGGGGGGGGGGGCGUGUGUGUGUGUGUUCAUCACUUCUUUUAUUUUCAUUUUAUUUUUCUGCAUAAAGUCUGCAGACUUUCCAACAGUACCUUGAUGUUUUCUGAAAGCAGAGUCUAUGUGCACACUCUAGGGCCUGAGGCCUCAAUUUGGUGGUAUUUACUUGGGACUGGUGUGUACCUACAAACUGUGUGAUGGGGUCAGGGCCAAAGAACACUAGUUUCUGUGUUAAAAAGAUAUUUCUUUCAACUGGAUAACAGGCCAAGCCUAGUAGAGAAAAGGUCUACUCUGCCAUAGGAUGGGGCAGCAGCCUGCAGUUCAGAAGACUGUUGUGUGUCUGGAAAUUUCCAGAGCCUCCAUUUGCUGGCAGAGGGCCAGAAGGGAGGGCGCAUUUGUUUGCAGAUCAGAGGAGGGGGUCCGUUCACCCUGACGUGAUGUUGGCCAUGUGUGGACCCUUGAGUUUUCAGGGUUGGAUGUCCUGACUGACACUGCCAUAGGAGGGUGUAAGAGGCUGAGAGUGAUGCAAUUGUAGGCUGUGGGGAUGAUAUUCACAGGAAGCCUCCCUGUUGCCUGUGGCAAGAGCAAAGAGUGAAAUGCUUGGGGCUGGGAAGAGGCAACAAAAGCCUACAGAAUCUAUUCUCAGUUCAUCUCCCAUCCUAGUCCUAUCAUGGCCUAACAUCCUUAGCUACCGAUUGCUGAGGAGAUUCUGCACAUUUGUGUUCAUGUGGCCUUGGUUGUCGGCAGCUUAACAUUGGUGCCCAUGGCAUCUGUGCCUGCAUCUGCCAUUUCAAUGGGCUCAGAAACAGGCUAAAGGGCCUGCAAGCUUCCUCCAGUUUCCUUGUAUAUGCAUGUGGAAUAUACUCUCUUGGCCUGGGUCUUUCCUGCCUUUUCUUGCCAGUUGGGUCAGAUCUAGCUUAUUAACCAGUGUUUUUUGAGCUUUAAUAGAACUGGCUCAGACCAGUUGGAGACCUGAAAAGGGCUAUGUGAUAGACAUUUUUUUUAGAGUAGUUUCAAAUAUACAGCAAAAUGGAGUACAGACUCCAAAGUUUCCAUAUGCCCUCAAUUGCUGUACACUCUUGGGUCACUCCACUAACAACCUCCUAUACCAGAGUAGAAUAUUUGUCAUAGUCAUGGACUUAUACUGACAUGUCAUCAUCACCCAGAGUGAUACCCUUGGUGACGCACAUUCUGAGGGUUUGGAGAAAUGUAUAACAAGUAUAUGUAUAAUGAAUGUAUCAUCAUAGCUGUCAUGAUAUCCUGCAGUGUAUUUUCACUAUGGUAAUUAUCUUGUGCUCUAUUUAUUUAUCCUCUCUUUUCCUAACCACCGCAAACCACUAAUCUUUUCAGUCUCCAUAGUUUUGCAUUUUUCUGAACGUUAUGUUCAUGGAAUCGUAGAGCAGAUAGCUUUCCAGAUUGGCUUCUUUCAGUUAGUAAUAUGCAUUUAACAUUCCUCAGUGUCUUCUGAUGGCUCAAUAGCUCAUUUCUUUUUAGAAGUGAUUAAUAUUUCAUUUUCUAAAUAUACCACAGUGUUAUUUAUCAGUUAAGCUACUGAAGGACAACUUAGUUCUUCCUACGUUUUGGUAGCUAUUUUAGAAACUGCUAUUAAACAUCUGUGUUCAGGUUUUUGUGUGGACAUCAGCUUUCUGGUCAUUUGAAUAAAGACCUAGGGACUGCAGCUGCUGGAUCACACAGUAAGAGUAUGUGUAGUUCUAUAAGAAACUGCCCAUAAUAGGAGAGUCUUUACAAUGGUAGAGGAGAACAUGUUAACAUACUGAAGAAUCAGUCCACUGAAGGAGAUAGAACUUGAGGAUCUAGAAAGAAUGAUGUAACCAUGAGAGCUGUUAAAAGAUAUGAUUAGGCUGGGUGUGGUGGCUAAAGCCUGUAAUCCCAGCACUUUGGGAAGCCGAGGUGGGUGGAUCACGAGGUCAAGAGAUCGAGACCAUCCUGGUCAACAUGGUGAAACCCCAUCUCUACUAAAAAUACAAAAAAUUAGCUGGGCAUGGUGGCACAUGCCUGUAAUCCCAGCUACUCAGGAGGCUGAGGCAGGAGAACUGCCUGAACCCAGGAGGCGGAGGUUGUGGUGAGCUGAGAUCAUGCCAUUGCACUCCAGCCUGGGUAACAAGAGCAAAACUCAUAUAAUUAAGGCAUUAUGAAAUGUUAGGAGGUAUAUUUGAGCAUUCAGAAAUUUAAAACCAGGCAGCCCCAGGCUACAAGCAGCUCAGAGCUCCAACAUAGAGGAUUUGGGAGGGUAGGAGAAGACUUACAUUGUGAUUGUAGAAGGAAAAGAAAAUGCUUGAUCUGGUAAAGUGCAGCAGUGGUCUCAUUUGGAUCAUUACAGUGGAAAGUCUCUAGGUAGAUGUUAGUUGAUGGUUUCUGACUGGUUAAGCUUAAGGUUCCUUUUAUUUACACUGAGUCAAGUUUUGGUUUGUUUAAGGUGGAACUGAGAGCACUGCACUGGAGCCAUCCUGAGCCUCAUGGCCCCCUGUUUAUUUGAUUAUUUUUUUCACAGAGAAGACCCUUUAAAAAAUAUCCAUUGCCCUGCCUCGAGUGCAGUGGUAUGAUCACAGCUCACUGCAGCCUCAACCUUCCAGGCCCAGGUGAUUGUCCCACCUCAGUGCUCCCCAUCCUCAGUAGCUGGUACUAUAGGCAUGUGCCACCAUACCACCAUGCUCAGCUAAUUAUUUAUCUGUAUUUGUUUUAGAGGUGGGAUUUCUCUCAGUUGCUUAGGCUUGUUUCAAAGUCCUGGACUCAAAUAAUCUGCCUGCAUUGGCCUCCCCAAUUGCCAGAAUUACAGGCCAUCUGACACAAGAAAAGAAAAUGAAAUACCACAUGUUCUCACUCUUAGGCAGGUGUUGAACAAUGAGAACACAUGGACACAGGGAGGGGAGCACUACACACUGGGGUCUG